UACAGAGGGUGCGAGCGUUGUUCGGAAUUACUGGGCGUAAAGCGCGCGCAGGCGGCCCUUUAAGUCCACUGGUCAAAAGCCGGGGCUCAACCCCGAGCUCGCCAGGGAUACUGGAGGGCUGGAGACACGUAGAGGCAAGCGGAAUUCCGGGUGUAGCGGUGGAAUGCGUAGAGAUCCGGAAGAACACCGGAGGCGAAGGCGGCUUGCUGGGCGUGAUCUGACGCUGAAGCGCGAAAGCUAGGGGAGCGAACGGG
rnacentral:rRNA from 1 species